AUACUAACCUGACGGGAGAUACCAUGAUCACGAAGGUGGUUUUCCCAGGGCGAGGCUUAUCCAUUGCACUCCAGAUGUGCUGACCCCUGUGAUUUCCCUUUUACUAUAUUAAAAAAAAAUUUUUUUAAAGAUCAGCUAAUUAAUAACCUUAAUUUCUUAU